rnacentral:rRNA from 1 species
AAGACCUUGCGCUUUUGGAGCGGCCGAUGUCUGAUUAGCUUGUUGGUAAGGUAAAAGCUUACCAAGGCUUCGAUCAGUAGCUGGUCUGAGAGGACGGCCAGCCACACUGGGACUGAGACACGGCCCAGACUCCUACGGGAGGCAGCAGUGGGGAAUUUUGGACAAUGGGGGCAACCCUGAUCCAGCCAUGCCGCGUGAGUGAAGAAGGCCUUCGGGUUGUAAAGCUCUUUCAGCCGGAACGAAACGGUUACGGUUAAUACCCGUGACUACUGACGGUACCGGAAGAAGAAGCACCGGCUAACUACGUGCCAGCAGCCGCGGUAAUACGUAGGGUGCGAGCGUUAAUCGGAAUUACUGGGCGUAAAGCGUGCGCAGGCGGUUUUGUAAGUCAGAUGUGAAAUCCCCGGGCUUAACCUGGGAACU